UUGACGGAGUCUCGCACUGUCGCCCAGGCUGGAGGGCAGUGGCGCCAUCUCGGCUCACUGCAAGCUCCGCCUCCCGGGUUCACUCCAUUUUCCCGCCUCAGCCCUCCGCCACCACGCCCAGCUAAUUGUUUGUAUUUUUAGUAUAGACGGAGAUUUCACCAUGUUAGCCAGGAUGGUCUCGAUUUCCUUACCUCAUGAUCCCCUGCCUCGGCCUCCCAAAGUGCUGGGAUUACAGGCGUGAACCAAGGCGCCCGGCCGGAGUAGGAAUUUUAUGGGUUAUAAACUAAGGAUAUGGAGGUCGACUUGAGGAAGAAACCUGGAGUAUAAAAAUUCAGUUUGGAAAAAGACGUUUUGUCUCUUAAACUGAAGCACAUUCCUGCCAUUCAUUCGGACCAUACGAAGAUAAAACUAAAAACUUUUCUCUAAAGCUCCUGGUGAUGGUAGUUGAGUCAAUGAGCCACCAGCAACAACAAAGGACAAAAAGGUGUGUUGCUGGCAAUAUGUGGCCCCAGGGGAGAGGCAAAAGUGGAGGUUCCCGAGUCAUCUGAGAUUUGUUGCCUCGGAACAGGAUCCACAGCUCAAUAAUAGUCACUGUACUGUCAUUGUUUAUUUGAAAUCUAAAGGUGUAAUGCAAGAAUAUGCAAGACCACAGGGACUGGAGACACAAAGAGCAUCUGAAGAGAGCUUGAAUGACUCCCAACAGUUCCAGUCUCAAAGUUACCAUGUGCAGCACAGUCAGGGCAGCAUGUGAGAAGAACAACAAGAAAGCUGGGGUCUGCCAGAGAAGACGGAAGCCCUCACAUUAAACUGAGUCAGCUGGCAUCUUGAUCUUGGACUUUCAAAUCUCCAGAACUGUGAGAAAUAAAUUAAGGGAAGAGACAGCUUGGAGUCUCCCACGGAUACAUGAAUGCAUCUACCUGGAAAUAAUACAUCACUUCCACUCACGUUUCAUUGGCCGAAGAAUAUCAAGGGGAUGGGGAAGUUCAGUGACCACUCCCUUCCACCCCCACCAUAAACUGAAGGAAGAGAAGAACUGGAAACACAGCUUCAAACAGCAAGCACGCAUAAGAUCCUGGAGUAGUCCCCCGAUUUCCAAUGCAGGAGGUUGCUUGGUGGCAGAGCUCUGCAAGUGUCCAACAGCAGGCAUUCCAUGGAGCCGUGCACUGGCGUGGAGUGCCAGCCAGCGUCUGAUAAAGAAAACGAAGAUACUCUAACGAAGCAGGAAAACUUCCUGGAUGAGGCAGAUCCAUCUCAAGGCUUUGGAUAAAAGGCUGAAGCAGGAGCAAUUGGAUACCACAACAUUAUAAUUUUUUUUUUUUUUUUGCAUUAUUCCUUUUGCUUUUUGCUUACCAUUUUCUUCCCAUGGCACUGAAGUGGAAUAUCCCAAGUGCCACCGAACUCAGAGAACUCCACGCCGGAAUGGGGGUGAGACUGGUGUUGUACCUCUGGCAUAGGAUAAGGAUGGCAGGCACGUAACAUUACGAAAUGUAGGACAAAUUCAAGCGAAAGAGAGGGAGAGGGAGAGAGAGGGGGAGAGGGAGAGCUAGAGACAGAUGGCGGAUCUGGCUAGGAGCCAAAGCCAGUGAAAUGAAUUACAUUGCUGAAUAACUGUACACCAUUGAUUCUGCCACUUGUUGCUGCAUGGUUAAAAAAAUGAAUUUUUAAAAAGCCCCAGUGUAUGCUGGAAUCCCCUUAUUUGUCAUGUGUGCAGCAGACAACUUUCACACGUAACUCCAUCCUGACAAUGAUAUGCUGUGGGUGUCUUGCAUAGGUGUGUAGAUGCGCGUGAAUGUGGUUGCGUGCAUGUAGGUGUGCCCAAGAAAGCAAAUGUGAGUGUGUGUGCAUAUGUAUGUGGGAGGAAGGAAAAACAAUCCCUGCAAUCUAGCCAUUUUUGUUUAAUGAAGAAUGGAGGACUGGCAUUCAGAGAUGUGGUUAUGUGCUGCAUAUUAAUGUGUGCUUACCAGACAUUCUCCCCCACUUUAAAAAUGAGUGGCACAGGAGUGAAGCCCUCUAUAGAUCAACCACGUGGGAGAAGCAACUCAUGAGGUAGCAUGUCAUCUCUAAACCUACAAAUGUGGCACAAGGAAUUCCGCAGAAGAACAAGUUGCUCUCUGACAAGAAGAAAAGCUGGUCCCAGGAAUACGAUGUUUGGGUGUUUUCGAAAAGACAGCCAGUCUCAGCAGAUUGUUCAAUAAAUGCUUCAUACCCAGGAUGAAGGGAGACAUUAUGGGAUGCCCAGGGGGCUUUGGAAAUCAAAUACAAUGUUUGAGUAGCACAAUUUGAGGUACAUUAUAUAAAAGCAAUUUGAAUUGCCAAUGAGGCGACAUAUCUGCAUGCUAAUUAGACCUGUGUCAAGCUUAGUCUGCAGGCUUCUGUUG
rnacentral:lncRNA from 1 species